rnacentral:misc_RNA from 1 species
UACGGAGGGUGCGAGCGUUAAUCGGAAUUACUGGGCGUAAAGCGCGCGUAGGCGGUUAGUUAAGCUGGAUGUGAAAGCCCAGGGCUCAACCUUGGAACUGCAUUCAGAACUGGCUGGCUAAAGUACGAGAGAAAGUAGUGGAAUUUCCUGUGUAGCGGUGAAAUACGUAGAUAUAGGAAGGAACAUCAGUGGCGAAGACGACUGCCUGGCUCGAUACUGACGCUGAGGUGCGAAAGCGUGAAGAGCAAACAGG